AACGAACGCUGGCGGCAGGCCUAACACAUGCAAGUCGAACGCCGUAGCAAUACGGAGUGGCAGACGGGUGAGUAACGCGUGGGAACAUACCCCUCGGUUCGGAAUAACUCAGGGAAACUUGAGCUAAUACCGGAUACGUCCGAUGUUUUAAUCGACCUUGGAGAAAGAUUUAUCGCCGGAGGAUUGGCCCGCGUCUGAUUAGCUUGUUGGUGAGGUAAUGGCUCACCAAGGCGACGANCAGUAGCUGGUCUGAGAGGAUGAUCAGCCACAUUGGGACUGAGACA
rnacentral:rRNA from 1 species